GGGGACUUUUAGCGUCAUAACAAAGCCAAAGGCAUCUGACGAGCAUCCGUAUUUUACGCGAUGGGAGUGAGAUUCUUUUGGAUUCUGAAACUACAGUAG